GACGAACGCUGGCGGCGUGCCUAAUACAUGCAAGUAGGACGCAGUUGCGAACGGGUGAGUAACGCGUAGGUGACUACCUAUUAGAGGGGGAUAACUAUUGGAAACGCUAGCUAAUACCGCAUACUAGUAGAUGGACCUGCGUUGUAUUAGCUAGUAGGUAGGGGAAUGGCCUACCUAGGCAACGCUACAUAGCCGACCCGAGAGGGUGAUCGGCCAACCUGGGAAUGAGAAACGGCCCAGACUCCUACGGGAGGGAGCAGGAGGGAAUUUUUGGCAAUGGGGGGAACCCUGACCGAGCAAAGCCGCGGGGGUGAAGAAGGUUUUCGGAUCGGAAAGCCCUGUUGUGAAGGGAGCGGUACUUAACCAGAAAGGGACGGCUAACUACGUGCCAGCAGCCGCGGUAAUUC
rnacentral:rRNA from 1 species